UGGGGAAUAUUGGACAAUGGGGGGAACCCUGAUCCAGCCAUGCCGCGUGUGUGAAGAAGGCCUUAUGGUUGUAAAGCACUUUAAGCGAGGAGGAGGGUACUGGUAUUAAUACUACCAGGUACUGGACGUUACUCGCAGAAUAAGCACCGGCUAACUCUGUGCCAGCAGCCGCGGUAAUACAGAGGGUGCGAGCGUUAAUCGGAUUUACUGGGCGUAAAGCGUGCGUAGGCGGCUGAUUGAGUCGGAUGUGAAAUCCCCGAGCUUAACUUGGGAAUUGCAUUCGAUACUGGUUAGCUAGAGUGUGGGAGAGGAUGGUAGAAUUCCAGGUGUAGCGGUGAAAUGCGUAGAGAUCUGGAGGAAUACCGAUGGCGAAGGCAGCCAUCUGGCCUAACACUGACGCUGAGGUACGAAAGCAUGGGGAGCAAACAGG
rnacentral:rRNA from 1 species